GCCAGUGUGGUGUAGUGGUUUGAACUUUGGACUACAACUCUAGAGAUGAAGGUUCGAUUCACUACUCAGCCA